UGUAAUUUUCGUUCGUGCAUCCGUGUUAACGCAAUGUUCUCCGCGGUUUGUGUGUUAUUCGUGAACGCAAUCGGAACGAGUCCUCAUCAACGCAGUUUAACGCGACUGUAAGUAAAGGGAAGCAGCGGGCGCCUUCACCGGCGCGGCCCUCGGCGAUCGCUUUGUUUGUAUGUGUCGCGCGCACGGUUCAACUUUUGAAUACCGUGGCUGCGCGUUGUCGCAGUGCAGUGAUGAUUAUAUGCCAGUGCUCAUCGUGAAACUGCACAAACCGCGUCACUGCUGAUGGAGCUGCCACGUACGUAGACGGCGGCGCCCGAGAAGACCUUUUCUGAAGAGAAUGCGUGCCUGGCGAUUGCCACUUCCAGUCGCAACUUUUACAAAGUGGCAGCUGGCCUCCAUGGGGCGGUGCAGACAGGGGACUGUCAUUGCUGGAGCACCUCCUGGCUAUCCACAGGAAAUGGAAAAAACAUGGUAAAUUCAAACCCCCUCUGGUUCUCAUUUUCAUGUUUCCAUAAGUGUGUGUGUGUUCAUCACCCUGAAGUUACUUAAAUUUGAAAACGAAGCCAUAUAAAGUAUACUCAUGGUCUCACCUAGUGCAUUAUUAAACAUAAAAGUACAAAAUCACGCAGCUUAAGAACCUCAAAGAUAAUUUGUAGCAGAUCAGUCACUGCAGAGGUCAGGAUAUGUAUUGUCGAUGCUCGCAGACAAUAGAAUUGCAGACUUGUUCAUCAUUAAAAGCAAUUAUACAUUUAGGGUGUGAACAUUUGGUAAUGGUUUGAGUGAAUGCUAGAGACGACUGCAUGAAUAUGCCACCCCUAACGUAAUGCCCUGACAGAGGCCCUUAAAGAUGAAAUAAAUGACGAUAAGAAGCUUGGUAACAGAUUUGUGCAACGAGCGAAUUGUAGCACGCACAGGGAAAAAUACACGAGAAGGCACAAAGAAUACACACACGUAGCACUUCAUUGUGCCUUCUCAUAUCUUUAUUCCCUGUUCGCGCUACAGCUCGCUCAUUUCAACAUGAACAACCAACAAGCCCACAUCGCCACUCAGAUUUGUGCAGUUUCCUUCGAGUCAUAUUUGGGUAAUGUACCACAGACUAUAUUUUAAGUGAAAUAAGUUAUAUUUCCUCGUUUAAUUGGCCAACACUGUAGUUAGGCUCUGGGUAUAUUUUGGCCAGGCAUCAGCGUGCUACAGUCAAAUUCAAACUUGCGAAACUAAAAAGCAAAAAGAAAGGGAACUGUUUCCUCAUGCAUACCGCCGCAAACAGCCUGUUUUCACAACGCGGACGACACCGUGUCAAAGGAAGUUAUGGAAAAGAGACUGAAAUCAGUGCACUGGUACCCCUUGCAGCAAUUGGGUAAUGUGCUGUAGUAGUGAACUUUGCAAUAAAGUUUUAUCUCUGUUCAUAUUGCUUUCAGAUGUUAUAAAUGUGAUUUCCACA